rnacentral:lncRNA from 1 species
UUUGCACGCGGGCAUAAGUAGGUGUGCAAGGUAACAACCCGGGAACACACACGCACACACUUCCGUUAAGCGCUCCAUCUUUAAGGAGUAAACACUCCUUAAAGUUGCGCGCAGUCAGCAACCGGAUUCAAUAAUCCUCGCCACGAGAGCUCUUCAUCCCCUUCACGAUCCCACCUGGGCGGUAGCCCAGGGGCUCCUCCCCGAGCCCCGAGAGGCAGCAUCGGGCUCCUUGACCAAGACUUUCGGACCUGAAAUCCGCCUGCGAUGCGAACCGAUGUAACCUCCCCUCCACAAAAGACCACCCCCCCUCCCCAAGUCAUCCUCGGCUUUUUAAAGAAUGUCCAAACCGGAGCGAGUGGUUUUCCAAUUACUCUCCCUGAACUAGGCCUUCCCAUUCCUCCAACCCCCAACUCACCAUUGAUCGCGAUCCUGGCCCUUCCCAAGUCAACAGGCACCCCCCGCCAGCUCGCCCACCCGGCGGCUGCCCAGCCCGGCCCGGCGCUCCCCCUCACCUGUCAGGUGCAGCUUGACGGGCCCGUUCCUCCGGCUUCCGGGGUUGGACAUGUCCCCAGCGGCGGAGGCGGCGGGCAGGACGGGGACAGGGGCGACGGCGAGGCGCGGCGGAGUCACCACAGCGUCAGGGGCUGAGGCCCGAGCUUUUGGCGCUGCAACCGCCACGGCCGGAGGGUCCCGGACGUGCCGAGCGUAGUCGUCCUGAGCCGCGGAGGACGCGGGACGCCGAGCUCCCCGCUCCUCCCACUUCUCUUUCCUUGGUCUGGGCUGCACAACUAGGCGGCAGCCGGCCGCCCGCGCCUCCGCAGCAUCCUCGCGGCCUCUGCGGCCUUUCCCUCCUCUCGUCUGGGCUAGGCCCAGUAGUCGACGGCGCUGGUCGGCUGAGGCAGGCGGUGCUCCGGCGGCGCCGGAGCAGGACUCUCGGCUUCUCCUCCUCCACCCGCCCUUUUGUCUGAGGGACCCGGGAUUUUGCUUUUCCCUUAUAGAAAUGGUGGAGUCAGUGAAGAAAUUAGCAGGGAUGGAUGUGGAGCUGACAGCUGAAGAAAGAAACCUCCUAUCUGUUACAUAUAAGAAUGUGAUUGGAGCUAGAAGAGCCUCCUGGAGAAUAAUCAGCAGCCUUGAACAGAAAGAAGGAACAAGGGAGGAGAAGACAAGCUAAAAAUGAUUCGGAAAUACCGGCAAAUGGUGAGACUGUUGUACAACAGUCCCCCCUUAUCCGCAGUUUGAGUUACCAGUGGUACAGUACAAUAAGAUAUUUUUAGAGAAAAGAGACUACGUUCAUGUAACUUCUAUUAGAGUAUGUUAUAAUUGUUCUGGUAUUAAUCUUUUUCUGUGCCUAGUUUAUAAAUUAAACUUUACCAUGAGUAUGUAUGUACAGAACAAAACAUAGUAUAUAUAAAGUUUGGUGUUGUCCAUGGUUUCAGCGUAUCCACUGGGGGGGGUCUCAGAAUGGAUCCCUCUCAGAUAAAAGGGAACUAUCGUAUUUUCAAGAAAAAUGAUGAUGAUGUGUUUUGGGUUAAAUUUGUCCCAUUCUUCUUUUUAUUGAAAGACUAAGGUUUUUUUUUUUUUUUUUCUAAUCCAAUAUCGUUGUUUUUAAUCUCUGGGUUUUAUACAACAGAAAUUAUCUGGGGGAAGGAAGCUCUUGUUACCUGAAUAUGUCCUAAUUUUUGUCUCUUAUUUUUAUGGUUUUAGAAAAUGUCUCUGAAAAGGGAGGCUUGUUUCUGUUGAGUGUCUGGCUUAGUUCUCAGGCUUAUGUCUGUCAGUAAUUUGGCCAUAGUUGUUGGCAUUCGAGGUCACAGCCUAGUGCUCACAUGACUGUAUAUGUAGUACACAUUUUAUAUCUUGGUAGAGUUGUGUCUUUUGCUCACGUGGAUUAGGCUAUAGAAUAUUCCACGGCAGAGGCGAAUAACUUUUUCUCCUGGAAGCUGCAGUAGUGGGCAAAAAAGUGAGACCCUGUCCCU